AUGACCAUAUAUCCACAGCAAUGCUUGCCUGACAGCCAUUGUAAAGGUGUGAGGAGAGCUUCAGAUCUGGACCCCUACUCAGUUAACUCUGCACGUGGAGUCUUAGCUGGACGAAAAAGUGAGGGCAGCCACUUGGGUCAGAUUUUACAAUGCACAGUUAGGAGAGGCAGCUCCAGCUCCCUCGAGGGCUGUGCUACCACUGCCUCCACACCCCCAUGUACUUCUUCCUCCUCAACCUCUCCCCCCUUGACCUCAGCACCAUCUCUGUCAUUGUCCCCAAAUCCAUGGCCAAUUCUCUGUGGGACACCAGGGCCAUUUCCUACUCAGGAUGUGCUGCCCAGAUCUUUCUGUUUUUCGUCUCAUUUUCACCAGAAUAUGCUCUUCUCACAGUCAUGGCGUAUGACCGCUAUGUUGCCAUCUGCAGACCCCUGCACUAUGGAACCAUCAUGGGCAGCAGAGCUUGUGUCAGAAUGGCAGCAGCUGCCUGGGCCAGUGGUUUUCUCAAUGCUCUCCUGCACACUGCUAACACAUUUGCCAUACCUCUCUGCCAAGACAGUGCUGUGGACCAGUUCUUCUGUGAAAUUACUGUGGUUAGUGCCUGUUUGGGCUUUGGGUCUUUCAUUUUCAUUGUGCUGUCCUACAUACAGAUCAUGUUCGCCUACCUGAAGCUUCCCUCCAUCUCCACAUCUGUGGAUUUGGUGUYGGCUGUUCUGUACUCAGUGGUGCCUCCAACUCUGAACCCUCUCAUCUACAGCACGAGGAACAAGGAGCUCCAGGAGGCAGUGAGGAAGCUGAUUCAGCUGGUACUAGUUCAGCAGCAAUGAGCUCCCAUCUCUCCUCACAAGCAAUUCCCAGUUUAUCUCCAGCAACUCUCAUGCACUGCGCAUUCUGUCUGUGAUAUUCAUGUUUGUACACAAAUGUUUGAAUUCAUCCCACUUCUCYAGAGRCACAAACCCUGUCUGUGUGACCCAGAGGCCUUCUGUAAAUGUGCAGAUCACUGUGUCAGUGCUGGCCUCCCAAGUAGCACCACUGUAAUAAAAGGGGAUCUCCUUAGUACUGUKCCUGAAGC
rnacentral:lncRNA from 1 species